rnacentral:misc_RNA from 1 species
CACUACGCACCUUCACGUUCCCUUAUUCCUGUCACUCUUUUAUCCCUCUCUCCUCUGUGCGAAUGCAUCCUAUCUCAAACGCCUCCAAGCCCCUGCAGUUUCACUAUUGCUGACCCAAGCCAAAUGGGUAAAGCCUCCAAGUGGUUCCGGGCCGUUCUCGGGCUUAAAAAACCCGUCACGCCUUCGUCAGAACGGCAGCAGCAAACCACGGGUCGUUUGAAGGAGAAACGGAGAUGGAGCUUUGUGAAAUCAUACAGCGAGAAAGAUCACCAGCAGCACGGAGUUUUGGAUGGCCAGGAGGGUUCCGUAACAGUUCAGAGUUCGUCGGAGUACGAGGAGGAACCUAACAGGCACGCGAUCGCAGUAGCAGCUNNNNNNNNNCGUUGGCGGAGCCUGCCGUGGCAGCGGCUCAUGCGGCUGCAGAGGUUGUGAGAUUGACAAGUAGCGGAAGGUGCGCUAACAAUCCACCAGUAACGUACGUUAGUGGGAGCCAUGCGUGGCGUGAGGAUUGGGCUGCCGUUAAGAUACAAGCGGCAUUCCGUGGCUACUUGGCAAGAAGGGCAUUGCGAGCAUUGAAAGCAUUAGUAAGGCUUCAGGCAUUGGUAAGAGGUCACAUUGAGAGGAAGCGAACUGCUGCAUGGCUUCAUCGUAUGCAAGCAUUACUGAGAGCCCAGGCACGAGCACGUGCAGGACGGAUACAGGUCUCUGAAUCUUCACAUUCAAGUUGCAAGUCUUCUCACUCCCACCACCCUGCUGGUCCGCCCACCCCUGAAAAUUUUGAACAUGCAAUACGAGCUAGGAGUGGAAAAUAUGAGCAGUCAUCAAUUCUCAAGAGGACUGGAUCAAAAUCUAAUGGCAGGGCAAUUAUUGAUGAAGACAAACCACACUUAUCCUUUAAUUGGUCAGGACGUGGGAUGGAUGAAAGAUCAUGGGAGCAAAGAGUUCCUUUGACAAGAACAAGCACUAUAGAUGAUGAGAAGAGUGACAAGAUCCUUGAAGUUGAUACAGGAAAAACCUACUUCACUCCUAAACACAGAAACCUUUUCCACUCCUCUUAUCUUGCCGUGGCAUCAGAUCAAUAUAGUCGUAGCUUCACAACUUCGAAGGACUCCACAAACCAUCAAGCAGUUCCAAGUCCAUCAUCUGGUGAAGUCCAGUCUUUAAGUCCUUUGAAAUUUCCACGUGCGGAUGAGGAAGCUUUUCGCACUGCUCAAAAUAGCCCACAGUUCUACUCCACAUCAUCAAGAGGGGGUGGUGGUAGAAGAAGUCCCUUCACUCCCAGUAAGAGCGAUGGCUCAGCAAGCUUUCUAAGCGGCUACUCGGACUACUACCCAAAUUACAUGUCUUACACUGAAUCAUCAAGGGCUAAAGUAAGAUCUCUUAGUGCUCCAAAGCAAAGGCCUCAAUAUGAGAGAUCAACUUCAACAAAAAGGUACACAAUUCAUGGCUUUGGUGAGCCAAGAUCGAGCAGUGCACAGAGGGCUUCCGCCUUGCGUGCAAGCUUUACUAGCAAAGC